GGCAGUGCCAAGCACCCCUGGCAGCCCUGCAGAGGGUUCUCAAAUCCAGAUUUCAUUCUGCAGUCCCGGCAGUGUUUUGACGACUGCCUCACUAAAGGAAGCUAAAAGCUGUGCUGAUGCCUCCCAGACGAGCCUCGUUGGAAGCACAGAACCUUCACGGCUCGGAGCCGCUGACACCGUGACAAAGGGAGCCCUGCUCAGGAGAAAGAGCAAAUGAGAGGCAGUUGCACUUUUUCAGGUGUCAGGCUGGAGGAAGCCACUUGAAGAUGAAUCUACCUCUGCCUUAGGAUUGCCUGAUGGCCUGUGCCAUUCCAUGUUAUAUCUACUGAUUUGCUCCCUGUAUUCAAAGAUUUUUUUUUUUUACUUAAUUCUCUCUUACUGACCCUGAGAGUGACCAUAUUUUUAACCAAUUUGGUCUUCAGCCUCAAAACUUAGCUCUUUCCUUUUGUGGUCCCCGAAUCCUAUCACGUGUCAUGGUGGCUGUGAAGAUGUUUGCCAAGCCUGCUGAGAAGGCUCAUCUGUGGCAUCCAAAAGCAGAGAUUUCAACUCUGGACCCCUGUGACCUGCCUUUGUAAUUAUGGAUACCCAGCACUGUUUUGAAAUAUCAGUGGACAUCCAGUUUUUAAAAGCCCUCAGAGCUUUGGGAGACACCCCUUUAUCUCUCUGGCAUGUCAGAGAACCGAUUCAACCCUUCUCAUCUCCUCCUCCUUCCCUCUCUUGGGCCAUCAGGAUGCGGCAGCAACUCACUGUGCAUGUUUUUACAGCUCUUCUCCAGUAAUGCUGCCAUUUCCACUGCAGACCACAGGAUAAAAGGACCGCUUCACCGUGGCCCAGGAUACCCUUUUAAGUAGGAGGCUCAGUUGGAUCUCCAAGUGGCGGUACCGUUCUCUCCACUUCAAAAAUACACAGAAACAUGUGGAAAUGUUCUGUCAUCCAGAAUGAAAAGCAUGUGCACCAAAUUUUCACAGACCUGAUUCGAAUGUAGAUAAAAGUGCAAAAUCCAGAGGAGGGAACACGCUAUAGAAAUCCUGUCUUCUAUACUAUAAUUUAAUCAUCGUGUGCCACAGAAUGUCUUUGCAUAAAUUACAACCACAAUAAUAGCAUCACUUUCACAAAAGGUGGCCUCUAAUCGAUUUGACUCUCCAAGAGAUGGCUGGGUUUUUCAAAGCAGAGAAAUGAUGACCUGCAGUCUUAAAGAGCUGUUGAUUGCACCUGGGGCUCCCGUGGCCGGCGCCCAUCGAGCAGCCCAUCCUGGCUGUUCCCUUGUUCAGCUGAUUUUCUUUUUUAUCUUGACAUUUGCUAACCGCUUGGUUUUUAUUUUCCGGGAAGAGAGGAUUAUUGGCAACUGGCACCACCCCCAUGUCUGGAGGAGGGACGUUUCUAGGAUGACCCCCAGAGUGGAGAAAUAGCCGAGCUCAUGAGGCAACCCACACAGGCAGGCUGGAGAGGAGUGGCAAGAAGCUCACCUUCGGACAGUAGUGAGCAGAGCAACAGAGGCCCCCAGAGACUUCGCACAACGGAAAAGAGAUCAACUCCCGCAUUUGCAGGGGACGUGAAAGUGCAAUACUGUGAGGAACAAAAGGAAGCCUCAUCUCUGGAAGCCGGGAGGAAAAACAGUCGGUGUAGACAGCAGCGGCAGGGACCAGAGCUGACCAGAAGGCUGGGUCCCAGCAACAAUUAGAGACAGGCAGCAGCUGAGGCCCCUUCUCUGAGAACCAUUUCAAUUGCACAGUGGCCACAGAAGGCUCCAUUGGCCCGGCAGCCAGCUCUGCAGAGCCAUUUGUCCACAAGGAAAAUAAUAGCCCCGGCCUCAUUGCUUUGGGCUGCAGGGAGGACAAUGACCCACCAUGAAAAGAGUUAAAAAGAUUCUGGGGAAGGGGAAAGGCAGGCCCACACGGUGGCAAUUCAAGAUCUUUUGGAUGCCGUGAGCGUGUUCUUUAAUUAAGCCCCUCUUCUUCAGCU
rnacentral:lncRNA from 1 species